rnacentral:lncRNA from 1 species
GUAAAACUUGUUAUAAAUGUUACAUUCAAUAAAUUGAGGAUAUAAAAGUUUAACUAUGACGACGGCAGUUGCAAAAUAUGCAUAUUUCGUAAUUCUAUAACAUUUAAAUAUACAUUUUCCUUCCUUUUAACUAUUAUAUGCUAUACUAUACUAUAUUAUUAGUAUAAUAUCCAGCUUUAUUCCGAAUGAUUUUGUUGUUGGGAUGGGAGGUGGGGCAGUUGGAUAACUUGAAUAAGAGGG